UAUGAUUCUACAAAUUUUGUCUUUUUAAUUUUUUUUUAAUUUUCAGGGCGCAUUGCUUAUUGUCGCGUAUUUUCACGGCGGCUCGUUUUUUUUUUUUUAUUAAGCUCAUCAAUUAAGAUUUGAUUAAUUACUUAAUCUGUAAUAAAUGAUCCAUUAUGAGCUUUCACAUUUCUAGCUGCUCAAUCAUUUUUUUUUUCUUGCAAAUAGGUCCUUCCGGAGGCGUAAAGGAACCUGUUACCAGAGUUGAAGGUGAUUUUUCUUGCACAUUUGAGGUUCGGCGGGCAAUUUCUAUUUUGAAGAAAGCAUAUGGUGAUAGCAUGCAUAAAGUUUUGCAUGCUGGUGUGGAGCCGUAUGCUGAUACUAACUGCAAAUGACUAGUGCAUAAUGGCAUUGUGCGUUUGUCUGACAUCAAAUUUCCUCUUCCAUACUGGCUGAAAUCUUUCCCUCUUGUAAUUGUUUCGGAUGCAUUGAUUACUUGUCUCCAAGAUAUCUCAACAAGACACUUCCAGAUUUUGCAAGGGUAUUGGCUGAUGGAGUUGUAAUAUUUACAGGUUUACUAGGUCAGAAGGAAAGCUAAAGCUGCAGAGGUGUCAAAAUAUGGAAGGGCGGUAAGUGGCUAUCAGUUUGUUCCUUUAUUACUGCUUGAUAUAAAUUGUUAAGCCUUGACAAUCAACAGGAACAUGGACACUGUCGCUACCCUUUUUUGUUGGAUAGCCUCUGGCCUGUUAAAUGAAUGUUGUCAAGUAGAACUUUCUAUGGUCAGUUGUCAGACUUGAAACUUUGAAUGCACUUCAAUGAGAUAGACUAUCUAGUCAAUGGUUUAAAGUCUGUCAAAUUCCAGUCUAUCUAAGGGGAAAGAAUUGUUUGGCUGUGGGUUGGUUAAGCAGGCUAAAUUGAUCAGGAGCUCGUCUUGGUGGGCACGAUACUUUGUCCAGACUAGCUCAGAAGAAAAUGAAGUUGCAGCCAAAAAGUUCAAUCAGGCGCAGAAAAGAACUCAUAUAGCCCCAGGUGCCAAAAUUUUCACCUAAGGUCAUAUCACUGAUUCCUUUACUUAGUAAUUUCUUCAUCGUUAGGGAGUUCCAUAGUGCAACUGAUUAAAUGUUUAGUAGAAUAGUUUAAAUUUUGGUAUAAAAUAUUUAUUUGGCUUUCAUUAGCCUACUUUUGAAUUCCAUCCGAUAUAUAUGAUGCAUUCUUUAAUUGAUAUUAUUUUGAAUCACAACAUUUCUCUGGUAUUAGCUGCAACAAGCUAGCUGAAAUGCGUGGUAGCCUUUUUUGCUCCAUUGAUAAUUGUAACUCAUGGUUCUUGCAAACCACUUAGAUUUAGAAGAACUAUUGAUUUUUCCCCACCAACAAGAAAAGACAGGUGUUCCUAAUUUAUUUUUACCUUUGUUUCAAUUACUGCAACAUGUGGCCCAAGUUAUCAGUUGGGCUUCCGGUACUGUAAUAUUUUCUUUCAUGUCUAGAGCAGCAAAGAAUGUUUUAUCCCUAGCUAUAUCACCUCACUUCUUGUGGUUGUUGUCUGCUCACUGCUUAGUGCCAAUGAGGCUUCUGUAAAGUUACCUAGAAACUGAUAGAAAGGUCUGCUCGGGUGGUCCAUUAUUGGUCCUAGCUACGGAUGGAAUAAGACCUUGAUGCAUGUCUGAUAUUUGAUAUAAACCGAGACCAAUAUCCCAGUGAUGAUGUUCCCCUUAUCCUGUCCAUCAUUGUCGAAACCGUACCAGACCUAAAUCGGGUCAGUGUCAUUAAACAUGUUCUUGAUGACUUAUUUUUGCUUAAAUUUUCAUGUUUUCAGUCAAUUUAUGCUUUUAAAACACUGCAAUCUCAAUCCUACAAGAUUCAAGUGGCUGCCAUUGUUUCCAAGUGAAGGGUUGAGUAAUUGUUUUCCCUAUCUCAAUAAAAAUCUCGUUUCCUGCUUUAAGCUGAUUCCAUUUCUUUGAAAGCAGAAGAGCUUCAGCGUUUUAUUUUGCUUAGACAUUGAGCUGAGUAUGAAAGGGUGAGUUUAUAAUAUUUGAUUGAUAGUCGAGUAUCUCAGAUAAUUUUUUAUUGAUAUAAGAUCGGGCCAAAUCCCAAGCAAUGAAAACGAAAUAUGGCAGUGAUUUCUUAAGUUCAGCUGUACGUUCAUGCUUGAUACCGACUUCACAAUUAUCCUAUAUUCAUAUAUAUCUGAAUGAUGCUUAUUUCCAAGCUGUAAAUGUAAAAGACAAAAGAGUACUUAAAAAAGGAAUCCCAAGAAUGCAGAAAAAUUGAAGUUAUAUAGCUAGCAGUACUGCAAUAGAAAGAUAGAUAUCACUUUCAAUACGGCCUGGACUGUUCCCUCAUGUGAAAUGCCAAAGAUAAGGACAAUUUUAUCGAUGGCCCUUCUUUGUUUGCUUCUCCUUACAAAAACCAAAUAAUUAGAACUUUCCCACCAAAGUCACCCCAACUAAAAAUCUUUGACUAAUUGGGUGAACAAAGCGUGCCUUCAGCGGCAGUUUGUCUCCCUCAUAAGUGAGUGAAAGGACUAAAGUUAUGUUCAAUGGUCUAAUAUUACCAGAGAAUAGACGACAAUUUUCGAAGGGACCUAAGUUUCAUUGUUUCUGUGUUGGUGUCCUCUAAGGCAGCUUCAGCUUUAAUUUUCCCACCUAGAUUGUGAUUUUAUAGGACUUAAACUUACACUUUCUCAGAAAUUCCCUCUUCUUCUUCUUAUUCUCUUACUGGCUUAGUUUUUGCACUUAAUUCGUCCAAAAAUGGUGUAUCAAUCCAUUAACAGGCUUGCUAAUCUUGUUUAUUGCCUGUCUAUAUG